GUGAGACCUGUUGACAGAAAUUCAAUCUUGAUUAAGGGACGCAGGAAGGCAUCCAGUUCCCACCAUGCCUGGGGCUCUCUCAUUUAAACAGCUGCCUUUGGCUCUGGCCUGUUCCAUUUCCCACUAGGCCCUGUGGACUUUAAUUUUGGAAGAUUUCACAUCCUCAUAUUUAUUAUUUCUGGGGGAGGUAGUGUCGUGAAACCGAAAUUACCCAGUAGUUAGCUUUUCGUUUUCUUGAUGUACUUGUCCUAUCAGCCUUAAUUGAAGAGAGUCAGACUUCUCAAUGGAUAUGUAUUUAUUUAUUCUCUUUUUCCAGGGAGAGGGGAUGGUCUCCUGAGUUGGCCAUUCUAGACCAAAAUAUAGCUUAAAAGAAGCUUUUUUAAAGAACAGGUCAUGUUAGGAAAAUAAUAUUUUGUUUUUAAAAUUUCACCUAAAGAUUAAGUGUACUUAGGUUUGCACCCCUCGCCGUUUGUUCCCCACUAAUCAAAUGUAGUCUUAGACCUCAGAGGACAGCCUUUCUUCUGCUGCUUGAACCCUCUUCAUAGUCUCUUUACUCUAGAAUAUCACUGAGGUUUUCACUAACCACCA
rnacentral:lncRNA from 1 species